GGUUCUGUAGUGUAGUGGUUAGCAUGUCUGCUUUACACACAGCAGGUCCUGGGUUCGUGCCCCAGUGGAGCCA
rnacentral:tRNA from 1 species